AUUGAACGCUGGCGGCAGGCCUAACACAUGCAAGUCGAACGAGUGGCGGACGGGUGAGUAAUGUCUGGGAAACUGCCUGAUGGAGGGGGAUAACUACUGGAAACGGUAGCUAAUACCGCAUACCAUCAGAUGCGCCCAGAUGGGAUUAGCCAGUUGGUGGGGUAACGGCUCACCAAGGCGACGAUCCCUAGCCGGUCUGAGAGGAUGACCGGCCACACUGGGACUGAGACACGGUCCAGACUCCUACGGGAGGCAGCAGUGGGGAAUGUUGCACAAUGGGCGCAAGCCUGAUGCAGCCAUGCCGCGUGUAUGAAGAAGGCCGUCGGGUUGUAAAGUACUUUCGGCGGGGAGGCGUUACCCGCAGAAGAAGCACCGGCUAACUCCGUGCCAGCAGCCGCGGUAAUAC
rnacentral:rRNA from 1 species